rnacentral:rRNA from 1 species
AUUGAACGCUGGCGGCAUGCUUUACACAUGCAAGUCGAACGGUAACAGGCCGCAAGGUGCUGACGAGUGGCGAACGGGUGAGUAAUGCAUCGGAACGUGCCCGGUCGUGGGGGAUAACGCAGCGAAAGUUGCGCUAAUACCGCAUACGAUCUAUGGAUGAAAGCGGGGGACCGUAAGGCCUCGCGCGAUUGGAGCGGCCGCUGUCAGAUUAGGUAGUUGGUGGGGUAAAGGCCCACCAAGGCAACGAGCCGUAGCUGGUCUGAGAGGACGACCAGCCACACUGGGACUGAGACACGGCCGAGACUCCUACGGGAGGCAGCAGUGGGGAAUUUUGGACAAUGGACGCAAGUCUGAUCCAGCCAUGCCGCGUGCGGGAAGAAGGCCUUCGGGUUGUAAACCGCUUUUGUCAGGGAAGAAAUCUUCUGGGUUAAUACCUCGGGAGGAUGACGGUACCUGAAGAAUAAGCACCGGCUAACUACGUGCCAGCCGCCGCGGUAACAC